rnacentral:rRNA from 1 species
UACACGCUGUGACUAGCAUAUCAAUAAGCGGAGGAAAAGAAACUAACAAGGAUUCCCCUAGUAACGGCGAGUGAAGCGGGAAGAGCUCAAAUUUGAAAUCUUAAAGGGUUUCCCUUUACGAAUUGUAGUUUAAAGAAGUGUUUUCUGUUGAGGUUUUGGUAAAAGUUCUUUGGAAUAGGACAUCAUAGAGGGUGAGAAUCCCGUAUUUGACCUUUACUUUCAACUUUGUGAUACACUUUCAAAGAGUCGGAUUGUUUGGGAAUGCAGUCCAAAAUGGGUGGUAAAUUUCAUCUAAAGCUAAAUAUUGGCGAGAGACCGAUAGCGAACAAGUACCGUGAGGGAAAGAUGAAAAGAACUUUGAAAAGAGAGUUAAACAGUACGUGAAAUUGUCAAAAGGGAAGCGUUUGACACCAGUGUUGUUUUUCUGAAAAUCAAUUAAAGAACUGUUUAUGCUAAGUUGUUUAGACUUUAUCAGCUAUCUGUUUAGUUUUGAGCUUUUCUUUAAUGCACUUUUCAGUUAACAAGUCAACAUCAAUUUCUUUUGCUGUAAAAAAGCUUGAGGAAGGUGGCUUGAGAUUCGUCUUAAGUGUUUAUAGCCUCUUGCCUAUGCAGUCGGAGAGAUUGAGGUCUGCAGCGUAGAUCCUUCGGGGCUAAAUGCAUUUGUGCUAAGUUAUAGCAUUUUAUCAGACAACUUGUUGACUAUGAUUUGUCUUGUAGCUUACUCGCUUAUGUUAUUUUACCUACGCUUAGGAUGUUGAAGAUGUAGCACAUCAU